rnacentral:rRNA from 1 species
AUGUCUUUUCAAUUAUUGCCUGCAGAUAUCCCAGUGCCUUCCAGUGCCAUUAGUGCAGCCUCAGACGAAAUUAUUGAAUUCCAUGAAGUGGAUAUUGUAACACCAUCGCAGAAGCUAUUGGCGAGGAAGCUGUCAUGCAGUGUGGUACAAGGGAAAAGCCUUCUUUUGACUUGCCCCAAUGGUACCGGGAAGAGCUAUGUUUUUAGGGUGCUCAGAGAUUUAUGGCCUGCCUUUUCUAGGAGAGUUACCAAGCCCUCUGAAGGGAUGUUCCAUGUUCCUCAGAGUCCAUACACCAGCUUGGGAACCCUUCGGGAUCAGAUCAUAUAUCCUCUGUCAAGGGAGGAAGCAGAGAUGAAGAUUCUUUCAUUAUAUAAAGCUAGCAACAGGUCUAGUGCUCCUGAGUUGCUAGAUGACCACCUGAAGACGGUUCUUGUGAAUGUUCGGUUGGUCUAUCUUCUAGAGAGGGAAGGUUGGGACUCUACCCAAAACUGGGAAGACGUAUUGUCGCUGGGAGAGCAACAGAGGCUUGGGAUGGUGGCGAACAAAAAAACAUUCUGGAGCUGCAGCAGCUUCUCCCAGCGCUUGGAUGAGCUGGCAGCCCAGCUGUGGCGCGGAAGGCCUGCUGGUUGGCACGUUGGGCUGGCUGAAGGAGCCCAUCUCGGGCGGAACUGCAGACAGGCGGCGGCUCGGCAAGCUUCACGGCGGCUCUUGGCUCGGGAAGAAGAGAAGGGAAGGGGAAGAAGAGAAGGGGGGGUCGUCUUGGUGCUGCUCCUGACUUCGAGGUUCUGUCGGGCGUCAAUGGCGUCGGGGCUCCGAGCCAUGGGGUCGCAGUUCCUUGUAGCAGGCGCGACGGGCGGCGGCAAUGAUGGGAUCCGGCGAGAAAUAGCCUUGGAUGGCCGGAUCUGUAGUCGGAGGCGAGGAUCUGGCCAGCGACGGGGGCAGCCGGGUGUGGCGGCGGUGAGGUCUGCCAUCAAAGCAUCCGAAGAAGUCCUCAUGGUAUCCUUCUCUGGAUACCCUGUGCACACGGGCUUGUACCUUGCGCACGGGGUCAAGUGUCAACUCUCUGGAUACCCCGUGCUCACGGGGCCUAGGGCUUUUAAGGAUCAAGGGCUUGAGAGAAUAAUCAAAGAGAAGAAUUCAAGUUAUGGUCUCAAGACAAGAUCAUGCGCUACGAGUGUUGAUGGUGAAGAGCAUCUGUACAGGCUAGCAGCAAACAUGGGCAUAACUGUGAUCACUUCGUCACAAAGGCCUGCUCAUCGACGGCGAGGGAAACUGGGAGCUGUGCGAGAUCCAGCAUUGAUUGACGCCCCCAAGCUAGAGUUUUAUCGGCUCAGUCACUUAUGCCGUGCAGAAGAUGCUGCUGCUGUUACUGGUGCUACAGCAAUUUGUUCAUAA